GUUAUUAAUGGGUUAAAUAUUGUGAGUAAGUGAAUUAAUGGAAACAAAAAAAUAUGGCGGUACUUUAAGCUUAUCAGAGGAAUUUGCUCUGUAAUGGAUAAAACACCUGAAUCUUACUAAAGUUAGUUAAAUCAGCUUGUAUACCACUAUAAGAGUAAUAAUUUAUUAUUAUUUCUAUAAUUUUUUCAUAAAAAAAUAAAUUAAGUCAUGGUGCAGCAAAAAUUUUAGAAUGAAGUGAAUUACAUUUCUUUUAAGAAUAAAAAAUUGAAAAAUUAUAUUAGGAUUUGAAAGUAAAUAAAUAAUAACAUGAUUUAUUGAAUUUAGCUCUAAAGUAUGUAC
rnacentral:rRNA from 1 species